GCCGUCGUAGCUCAGUAGGUAGAGCAUUCCCAUGGUAAGGGAAAGGUCCGCAGUUCAAUUCUGCGCGACGGCU
rnacentral:tRNA from 1 species